rnacentral:rRNA from 1 species
UGGUCCUACGGGGCGCAGCAGUGAGGAAUAUUGGUCAAUGGCCGUGAGGCUGAACCAGCCAAGUCGCGUGAGGGAAGACGGCCCUACGGGUUGUAAACCUCUUUUGUCGGGGAGCAAAGAGAGUCGCGUGUGACUCAUUGAGAGUACCCGAAGAAAAAGCAUCGGCUAACUCCGUGCCAGCAGCCGCGGUAAUACGGAGGAUGCGAGCGUUAUCCGGAUUUAUUGGGUUUAAAGGGUGCGCAGGCGGGACGGCAAGUCAGAUGUGAAAACUGAGGGCUCAACCUUCAGACUGCAUUUGAAACUGC